CCUUGAAAACCCUGAUGUGGUUGAACAUCAACCACUGUGCAAAGCUUCAUGACAUUCAAAGCCUAGAGGAAUUCUCAUCCUGCAAAAGUAUGUGUAUUAAGGGAUGCAAGUCGCUAGCAAAAUUUUCAGAUGUGUUGGAAUUUGGAAAUUUGAAGCAACUUGAUAAUGACAGUCUGUUGGGAACUUUCAGAUAUCCCAGGGCCCUAAAGAUUGAGAUACCCAGAAACUGUAGAAAUUUCACGAUGCUCGUCAAUCGGGUCUUUACCAGAUUUGUCAGGGUGUUAGAACUUGCAAUUUUUGGUUGCACAACUGCGACAAACUAACUGAGCCUCGAGGGCUUGGAGACUUGGAGCUUCUACGAGCUCUAGAUAUUUCCAGAUGCAGGUCGCUAAAAGCAAUACCUGAAUUGUCUGGAGCUUUCCCUAUACAGAAUUAUCGUAGUUUGUUAGUUAUGAUGUCAAGGAGAUCACGUUCUGGUGAGAGUUGGAUAUUAAACCGAGCAAUGACCCCAAACAAGGAGAAAUCUUAGUCUUGAUAAUGGCAGGAAUGAAGCUGGCAGUCCUGCUGAAUCAUCUGUUCUGGAGGCAAAGUGCAAAAACACACAGGCUAAGAAGAGAGAUCAUACUGCUGGAUUUAUGGCGCUCUCGAUGCCCCAGAAUUCAUCGGGUUCUUUCAAGCCAAUUUCACAGGGUGUGAAUUUGAUAUGCUGCAAGUCUGCGAGAGAAUAGCAGGGCAUACCGAGAGAUGAAGCAUCACUUCCAAGUGGUGGCGGAGAUGUGGUGGUGCCGGUGGUUGAGGCUGGUAGUGAUGGGGAUCCCGAUGGACUAAAGGUCGGGCUGGUAGAAGUUUCACUUAUGGUAACCACUAAUUUUUGGCCCGGAGAGCAACAUUCAGCAUUAGCAAAGGUGUAAACGAAGUAAUACUCGGUAGCGUUGUCGAGGGUGGCCGGUUGGUUGGUUAGGAUGAUGAACGGAGAAGCAGUGUUACAGUUGUCGUUGUCACUCUCUGACACGUUCGUGACGUCGUGCGACCAUGCGUUGAAGUUGAACGCAGCAGAAAUAAUGGAAGAUCGUCGUCAUUAAAGAAAUGAAGCUCGAGAUUGAUUGUUUGGCCACUGGAGCUCGAGAUUGAUUGCACAUAAAAGUAAUAGAAAAUGGACUGGUCGGAGCAAAGUGCUUAAAAAUUAUGACGAGCAAGGGUUUGAUUCCUAUUCCAAGAGCGCCAAACUGCA